CUCACAUCAGGAAAAGAGCUCUUUCAAAGAUCAGUUCCAUCAAAACCACUGUCGAGCUGCAUCCCAUAAGGAGCUGCGUUUUCCUUUCUGACCAUCUUCAGCUUUAGCUGUUGUAUCAGCUAAAAAUCUCCCCUAGUUUACGAAAUCCAGCACUUCCCCAUGGCAGCCUUGGGCAGCAAGAGAAACUUGGGGCAUCUGAACCACAGCACUCAGUCAGAGGGUUUGUCUGCUGUGUUCUGCCCUGGAGUUCAUUUUGGGCCUUAGAACUGUUGAGGAGCAGGAUUGUCUGUGUGGUACAAAGGGACAUCAGCAAUCAGCACACCCCCCUUACAGCCCUGCUGUUGGUGUCACGUGGAUGGAGCAGCCCAGAAUGGAGCAGGAGGAGUCGGGCACAGCUCUGCUGGGGCUGCCCCGUCCCUGGAGGUGCCCACAGCCAUAGGUGGGCCCCGGGCAACCUGAGCUGGGAGUGGGCAACCAGUCUGGGGCAGAGGGUUGGAAGAUCACCGUUCUGUGAUCCCACGAUUGAAAACAGGUUUACGAAGUUUGGCUUUACUGAAGUCUGGCAGCAUUCAGAUGGGCAGUGAGUGUUCUGCUUUCUGACCUCCCAGAGGUCCCUGAGGAGCUGCAGGUGCUCCAUGUAUGUUCUCCUGCUGUGCUUGCAGGGAUGGCUGCUCUGGGAAUGCCCAACAGCAGCCCGGGGGCUCACCUCAUUCUCCAGCACACGGUGUGUGGCCGAGCUUUUGGCUUUAACUCACUGCGUACGGAGCCUAUGGGAGCCCUUGGGACAGGAGAGGUGUGGUGCUGGCUGUGUGCAGGGCAGACACCCGGUGCCCUUCAUCCCAUGCCUGUUGUCACAGCCGCUGCCCCACGCUGUCCCCAGCCCCGCUCUGAGCUCAUCCUCCACCUCUGCUGUGUCCUGAGGAUGUCCCAAAGGAUGUGGGUGUGGAGUCCCCUAUGGGGAAUGGCACAGUGUCACCCAUGGGAUGUGGGCAUGGCGCAUUCUAUGGGAGAGGGGUAUGGUGUCAUCUAUAGGGAACGGCCAUGGUGCAUCCUAGGGGUGCUGGGCUUUACGUCCCCCAUUGUACGUGGGCUUAGUGUGAUUCGUGUCUGACGUCACCCACGUGGCACAGCGUCACCUGUGGGAUGUGGGCCUGCUGUUGCCUGUAGGAAACGGGCUUCGUGUCUGCAGUGGGGUACGGACCCGCGGUCGCUGUGGUGGGAUGUGAGCACAGCGUCACCCGAGCGAUGUGGGCCUGCUGGCACCUGUGGUGGGAUCUGAACGUGGUGGGAUCUGAACGUGGGGCCACGUGGGGCCGCG
ensembl:lncRNA